UACGUAGGGUGCAAGCGUUAAUCGGAAUUACUGGGCGUAAAGCGUGCGCAGGCGGCUUUGCAAGACAGAUGUGAAAUCCCCGGGCUUAACCUGGGAACUGCAUUUGUGACUGCAUGGCUGGAGUGCGGCAGAGGGGGAUGGAAUUCCGCGUGUAGCAGUGAAAUGCGUAGAUAUGCGGAGGACCACCGCUGGCGAAGGCAAUCCCCUGGGCCUUCCCUGACGCUCAUGCACGAAAGCGUGGGGAGCAAACAGG
rnacentral:rRNA from 1 species